ACGAUUUGCUACUACAAAGAGUCGGACGAAGCAGCUGGAGCCGGCACAGAAGGGAAGGGGCUGCACCCAAGACACGUGUGCUGUCACUGAAGGGGACCAAGAUCUGGCUGGCUUAUCUCACGCAGGGUUCAGAGAAGGGAUUUUGACCUCAGGAGAAGUAGCUGGAUUCCCACUGCUUUGGCUCCCCCCCCCCCACACACACUGAGAUUCUCUGCAUCUGAGAGAGUGGAGAGGGACCUAGUAUGGUUUUCUCCAAACAUAGCAGGAAUCCCAAGGGCAGGCAGGAGGGCUACAUGCCGAUUUGCCCUCAGUAAUGGCGGCAGCCAAAAGCAGGUCUGGGGCUGUGGGGCUCUAAAAGCCGCUGAUAUCCGGAGAAGUGAGAGCAGACCUCGGGUCCAGGACUCAAUCCACCUUCCCAGGAAGUCUGGUUGUCCGUGUACAGCAGCAGGUGGACAACAGGAAGAUGAUGUGACCCAAGGUCAGCCAGAGCCCUUCCCACAGAGACGGGGAAUUCUGGCACACAGGGAAGGCGGCCAAGCACUCAGUCCCGUCCUUGGGCAUCUUUUGGCAAGAAGGACAAAGGGUGGACAAUUUGGUGACGGGAGCUGUUUGUGGGAGCCGAGAAGGCCAACAAAAUAAAGAAGCUGAACACAGCUGUCUGGCCCUUGUUCACAAGAGCCUGUGCCCAGAGUGACCACAGAAUUGCCAUAUCAGAACACUGGGACCUCUCAAAAACUCUGGAAAUCAGACGGGGGAAAUUGAUGCAUUCUGGUAAAAGGAGAAUUCUUCUCAAGGGAAAAGAGAAGAGAAGAGCAGUCCAGUCAGCUGCUGAUCAAUACCAGACAAGGGGAUAUGGUAACUGUUAGUCCCUCCAACCCCAGCCAGCCUUGCAGGAACUCAGUAAUAAGACUGUCCACAUUCAGGGAAGGGCAGUCAAUAUUCCCUGCUAUCUAUCCAAUGAAAGGAUAGCCUUUUACAACAUUUUGUUUUGGGACAGGAUCUCACAUAGCUCAGGCUAGCCUCAAACACACUGUGUAACCGAGAAUGGCUGUGAAGUCCUGAUUCAUUCACUUUCAUCUGAGAUUAGGGAAACACACCACCAUACCUGACCGCCUCUCACACACCUUAGUGCCCAGUCUGUUUUUAGUGUACAAAUAUAAUGAGGGAGGAAGAAGAAUUAAGCGGAAAGAAUUCGUAAUGGAAUUGUUGCCCCCGUUGGCUUCUGCCUCGCAGAGUGUGGACAAAAGAGGAAAAGAUGGCUGACCAGAGAAAGGGAGGCAGCAGGACCAAGGUGAGGACUCUUGUCUACCUGACUUGUGAUUGCCAGCCCGGAGCAGCAGGUUCCAGACUUGACGAGAUGUGGCGUUUUCUCAACACAAGUGCAGAGGAACUGCAUUCAGCUCCCAACAGCCACACAAGGCAGCUCACAACCACAGGCAACUUUAUCUCCAGGGACUCCAUUGCCCGCUUCUGGCCUCUGAAGGUGCCCACAUUCACAUGCAUGAGAGCAGGCUACAUGAAUGCCAAUGUAAAAGGCAAGUCCCCUCACAAAAAUAUAGUCUCUUUGAGAUUUAGGGAAAAAGCAAACUUUAAGAGUAUUUUAGCUGUGGUGUGCUUUAAAGUAUUAUUGUGACUUUUUUUUAAAGACAGGUUAUUAUCACUAAAUAGCUCAGACUAGACUUGAAUUCUGUCCUCUUGCCGCAGUCUCCCAGGUGCUAAGAUGACAGACCUGUUCCAGAAUGCUCAGUCAAACUAAUGUUUUCUUAUUGUUGUAGCAAAACAAAAACAAAAAACGAC
rnacentral:lncRNA from 1 species